AUUUUUCCAGGAAGUAAAAAUCCCACAUGGCAAACAAUUAUGUGAAAAUGUAGAUCACUGCCUCCAUUCUUAAACAUGCUGAACAAACAAAGAUGCACAUUAGGAGGCAGAGCAAAUGUAAGGUUGAGUUUGAUUCUGAAUUAGGUAGCCAGCCAAUUCCUUCCUGCAUUAAAUGCCAAAGAAAAUGGAAAAGUUUGCAAAUGCAAGACCCACACACUCAAUCUGCUGCAAAGAAAGGAAGGCAGCUAUGCUGUGUUUUCAACUAGCAGCAGUAUGUGGAUAAAAACUGAACUUUUAAGCUGACAUACUUUUCAAACUGAUAAAAAUGCACAGUUCUUACUGGUCGUCAAGUCUCUGGUAAAGCUGGAGGCCAAGAGGGAGGACUUUUAUAAGAGAACAGAUGUCUUCAUGAAGAUGGCUACAUGGACUUUUUCCAAGUGACAACAAACUGCAGAUCUACAAAAAUAUUAUCACAAUUACCCUGUGAGCCAGGACGGGAGGGAACUCCCCGCCGCUCGUGACUGUCUGUGUGCCACCCUCGGGCUUGUGGUCUGGUCGGAUUUGUGAAACACUGACAGACAACCCCUUCAUCAAGCCUGUCAAACAAGGAUGACAAAUGCGUCUCCACAUCCCCAAGAUGCCUACAAUAUUUAAAGCCAUGGGAGAAUGGCGAAGCUGACAGAGAAUAGCAGACGCAAAGUUCAAGCCGCGUCAGGCUGUAUCAUUCUCAAAUUCUGAGGAGAGACUCUGAGUUGAACCUGAUGGCAUGUUGACUUAAUGAUUCUGACAGAGCAUAUAUGGUGUCUGUCUCAGGUUUCUACAAGGCAGUGAAGUCAAGUCAAAAUAUAUUUCAUCGACUUAAAGAGGGAUUUGCUUACAAUGCUGCAUA